GCCUACGGGAGGCAGCAGUGGGGAAUAUUGGACAAUGGGGGGAACCCUGAUCCAGCCAUGCCGCGUGUGUGAAGAAGGCCUUAUGGUUGUAAAGCACUUUAAGCGAGGAGGAGGGUACUGGUAUUAAUACUACCAGGUACAGAAGUACUAG
rnacentral:rRNA from 1 species